UACGUAGGGGGCAAGCGUUGUCCGGAAUCAUUGGGCGUAAAGCGCGCGUAGGCGGCCCGGUAAGUCCGUUGUGAAAGUCAAAGGCUCAACCUUUGAACGCCGAUGGAUACUGCCGGGCUAGAGUCCGGAAGAGGCGAGUGGAAUUCCUGGUGUAGCGGUGAAAUGCGCAGAUAUCGGGAGGAACACCAAUGGCGAAGGCAGCUCGCUGGGACGGUACUGACGCUGAGGCGCGAAAGCGUGGGGAGCGAACAGG
rnacentral:rRNA from 1 species